rnacentral:lncRNA from 1 species
GUUAUUUAGCAACUGACUUUUGUCAGUUGUGACAGUUUGUCAGUCAGCAAGUGACUUUUGUAACUUUUGAAUUUAUUUUAUUUAGAAAAAUAAGAAGAUUCAGUUGAGAAUCUAAAAAAAGUAGAACAUUCAAUGGAAAAAUUAGAAAAUUCAAUUGGUAAGCAAAGUUCACUUAUGUUACAUUUUGUUUAAUUUUAACACACAUUUUUUGAUGUUUGUUUGCGGUUUUAUCACUAUAAAAUAAACUGUUUAA